ensembl:lncRNA
CCAAGGACAGAGACAGGGCACAGUAGCAGCAGUGGAGGCCAUAGGGACUCUAAUGAGGUGCCUGCUGGGAAAAUAACAAGGCUCUCAUGCCUCGAUACACACCGCCCCGUGUCAGGAGAGGUCAGCUGCAGCCUGAUGGAUGAGCUUCGCCCAGGAGACGGUGGAAACAUUUUGAUGAGUGGAACGGGUUUUUGUAGCAAAGCCGUUUUUUAGUGUCAAGUAACUAUGAGCAAUCAGCUCUACAACGGAGCCGACUGUGGAAGCCGUGAAUCGGAGGGCUUUCUGGUUGAGUGCAGCUUUCUGUGUUGUUGACGGCGCACAACAGCACACGGUGGAUUCUCUUUGUGAGAAUCUUUGGUGUGAAAAAGAAAGGUCUCGAGUAGAAAAUGGAUCUCAUCACAGUUCUUGGAACCUUUUGUUUAAAAGAGGGCUCCAGAGGGAAAUGACCAAGCCUUCCCGCAGUGUCAAGAAAUGGAAAACUAAGCAGGAGAAUGCUUAAACUUCACUUCACAACUUUGCACCACCGGGUGUUAAGUCGAGGGAAAUGAUCGAGGACGAGCCAGUGUAGUAUGAACCGCACCAGCAUGUCUUGGAAUACAGGCUGACAGUGUUGUUCUUUCACGGUUUUAUCCUUUUACUACCCUCAGAGUGGACAUUUUUAAAUAGGUGGAUGCCCCUUUCAUGCCUGACUGAGGCUUUGAUAUUUUAAAAAUGAAUUACCUCCAGCGGCAC